GCACCUCUUCAUUGCAUGUGAAGAAUCACAUGCAGGCGCCAAGAGGAAGGGCGCCUCUUCCUUGCAUGUGAUUCUUCAUAUUCAUGCGCCUAAGACAAAGACAAAGGCUAGUCUACUUUUGUAAUUACAUAGUCUACUUUUUCCAUUGCAUCCAACCAAUCCCAUGCUUCGCAGGUUGUAAACCUACUAACUCAUUCAUCUAUAAAUAGCCUUUCAUAUCACAAUAUCAAAUCAUCUCC
rnacentral:lncRNA from 1 species